rnacentral:misc_RNA from 1 species
AACGCAUAUUGCGCUCUUUGGUAUUCCGAGGAGCAUGCUUGUUUGAGUAUCAGUAAACACCUCAAAUCUUCAAGGUUUGUUCUUUGAAGAUUUGGAUUUGAGUGAUCCUAACGCAAAAAAGAUUUAUUUUUUUUUCGGCAGGUUACUUGAAAUUCAGGUGCAGCUGAACAGUCUUCUGAGCUAAAAGCAUAUUUAUUUAGUCCGCGCUUUAUUAAAGCUGGAUUAUUACUUUGCUGCAGCUAACAUAAAGGUUGAUUGUAUUCAAGUGCUGACUGAUGCAGGAAUUUAACAGUUUUGGAAAAUGCGCAAGCAAAGAAAAAGCUGUGAAUCUCGAUCUCAAAUCAAGUAAGACUACCCGCUGAACUUAA